UUCAUCCAAGACUAGGCUUGACCAGCGGGUGGGAAGCGACUAGAGAAUAUGACGUCUUUACUCAACUAUUUGUAGAUGUCAAGGAAUUUGUAUAGUAAAUAUAUUAGCUUUUGUGAUCCACUUCUGGUUUAUGCCUGCUUUAUCAUGCCUUGUGUGACUAUAGGCCUCUGGUCUAUAGGCGCGCGGCGGCUGUCUCGCCUAGGCCCGGUCUCGGGGCGUGACUUGCUUCCUCCGUUUUUUUAGAUGCGAACGAGGUAACUUAAGUAUGUUCAACUUAAGUAUGUUCAGAAGAUGUCUUCAUCCAAGACUAGGCUUGACCAGCGGGUGGGAAGCGACUAGAGAAUAUGAUGUCUUUACUCAACUAUUUGUAGAUGUCAAGGAAUUUGUAUAGUAAAUAUAUUAGCUUUUGUGAUCCACUUCUGGUUUAUGCCUUCUUUAUCAUGCCUUGCGUGACUAUAGUCCUCCUUGUCUAUAGGCGCGCGGCGGCUGUCUCGCCUAGGCCCGGUCUCGGGGCGUGACAGUUAAGGCGUGAUUAAUUAAGCAUUAACCAUCAGUGGAUCACAAAAGCUCAUAUAUAUUGACGACAGAAAUUUCUUUACAUAUACAAAUAGACAAAAUACAUUAAAAUCUCUAGUCGUUUCCCACCCACUGGUCGAGCCUAUUCUUGGAUGACAUCUUCUGGGCAUACUUAAGUUACACCGACUGCAUCUAAGAAAUAGAGAAGACAAGGGUGAGUACGAUAAAUCAUACUCAGCAAGCAAAUACUUCACUAUUCAAUAAGGAGCAAUGGUAUGAUGGUGUAGAUCAACAGACGAACUGAAUUCAGAGGAUAACAAUGUAACAACCAUUGGAAUCAUAUUUUGAUGUAAAUGGACAAAAGAACAAAAUACCAGAUUUAGUAAAAACAACAAGGAAUCUAUUGGCGUCACACAUGACCGCAAGCUUCCCAACCCGGGAGUCACAGGGUGAAAUUUCACACUUUUACGCUCUUAAGAGGGGUACUCCGACGUCGACAGCCUCGACUAGAACCACACAGGUUCCAGAAGAGCAGAGCUCUUUUACCCACUAAGUCCCGGACACCUGUACCUACUUAUGUCGGUCGCUCCUACGGAUCCAUCACCGACACGUUCCCGAACAAGAUCCGACCUUAACGGAGAGCCCAGACAGUCCCAUACCUAAACUGUGACCGGUACAAUACGUUUGCAGUCGUGACACCAAUAUAGAUGGAUGUGUGUUUGAAUCAACAUUAGGACCACUGAAGUAUCGGUCAAAGACAAUACACUCAUGGCUUUUCAUGAGUUCCUCCAAAAUACUCUGAUUCCAUCAACAAAUGGAUUAUGAGGAAAACACAUCCCUCUUUCAAGGAUCAAUAGAGGAUCAACAAAGAUCAAGGUGCAAUGAUAUUACCAGAUAAUCAAGCAAGACAACAAUAAGGAGAGAUCAGGGAGUUUAGCAAAGCAGCUACUUGCCUCAGAUAAUAUGAUUUCUCCUUUAGAAUAAUACUCUGCAAGAAGAUGAAACUCCAUCAUCUUUGUAUAAAAUCUGACGACCGCGCAUAUACUAAUAUUCUUCUGACGUAUGGCUUUGUUCUUCCCUCCAUCAGCAUCUACACGAUCUAUAUAUCUUCAAACAUGGACGCAUGCAUACUUGUAUUCUUCAUCUCUCUUCUCUUCGCUCUCUCCGCUGGUAUGCUCUAUUUCUCUCAUGCUCUCUCCUAGUAUCUUCUCUUCGCUCUAUUUCUCUCAUGCUCUCACUCUUGGUGAUGAGGAUGUGCAAAACGAGUAGCAGUAGCUAUUUAUAGAUGGUGAGCCCAGAGUGAACUCAGCCGAGCUGUUCUUGAAGCACACAAUCAUCUAGACUCUACCUAUUACGUGGCAUGCAUGCCUUGGUCUACGUGGAGAACCUGGUAAAAGAUCUAAGCCGCAAUGGCCUUUGACCCUUGCCCCUUGACCCUUCGAACUGCUG
rnacentral:lncRNA from 1 species